rnacentral:rRNA from 1 species
UACAGAGGUCCCGAGCGUUAGGCGGAAUCACUGGGCUUAAAGCGUGUGUAGGUGGAUCGUUAAGUACCUUGUGAAAUCCCACGGCUUAACCGUGGAACUGCUUGGCAUACUGGCGAUCUUGAGCCACUUAGGGGCUACCGGAACAAAUGGUGGAGCGGUGAAAUGCGUAGAUAUCAUUUGGAACGCCAAUGGUGAAAACAGGUAGCUGGGAGUGUGCUGACGCUGAGACACGAAAGCCAGGGGAGCAAACGGG